rnacentral:rRNA from 1 species
GAUCAUGGCUCAGGACGAGCGCUGGCGGCGCGCCUAACACAUGCAAGUCGAACGAGCGAGAGAGAGCUUGCUUUCUCGAGCGAGUGGCGAACGGGUGAGUAACGCGUGAGGAACCUGCCUCAAAGAGGGGGACAACAGUUGGAAACGACUGCUAAUACCGCAUAAGCCCACGGCUCGGCAUCGAGCAGAGGGAAAAGGAGCAAUCCGCUUUGUGAUGGCCUCGCGUCCG